UGCAGUCGAGCGGUAACAGAUCUAGCUUGCUAGAUGCUGACGAGCGGCGGACGGGUGAGUAACGCGUAGGAAACUGCCGAGUAGUGGGGGAUAGCCCAGAGAAAUUUGGAUUAAUACCGCAUACGCCCUACGGGGGAAAGGAGGGGAUCUUCGGACCUUUCGCUAUUCGAUGUGCCUGCGUGAGAUUAGCUUGUUGGUGAGGUAAAGGCUCACCAAGGCGACGAUCUCUAGCUGGUUUGAGAGGAUGAUCAGCCACACUGGGACUGAGACACGGCCCAGACUCCUACGGGAGGCAGCAGUGGGGAAUAUUGCACAAUGGGGGAAACCCUGAUGCAGCCAUGCCGCGUGUGUGAAGAAGGCCUUCGGGUUGUAAAGCACUUUCAGCAGUGAGGAAAGGUUGUAAGUUAAUACCUUGCAGCUAUGACGUUAACUGCAGAAGAAGGACCGGCUAACUCCGUGCCAGCAGCCGCGGUAAUACGGAGGGUCCGAGCGUUAAUCGGAAUUACUGGGCGUAAAGCGCGCGUAGGCGGCUAGGUCAGUCAGAUGUGAAAGCCCCGGGCUUAACCUGGGAAUUGCAUCUGAUACUGCUUGGCUAGAGUACAGAAGAGGGUGGUGGAAUUUCCUG
rnacentral:rRNA from 1 species